UCCUCUGCCAAGGACUUGGAAGAAAAUGAAAAAAGGCAGAAAUCAGUGAAGAGAUGAAGCAUUUCUAAUUGCUAAGAUUGUUUUCCUACCUCACCAACAGGGAUUAGUCUGUCCCUAAUCCUGAGGGAGUAUCAACUGGUGCAGUUCUUGGGUCCUGUGGAGUCAGCUGUACAUCAGGAAGAGCUGUGAACUGAGCUCUAGGCUGGAAGAUACCUUCCCACUGACUGCUUUGUAAACUACCACUCACAUCAAACAUGUUACAGCAAAAACAACCAUGAAAAGUGUAUCUACUAUUAGUUCUCUCCCUGUUCAUCUUGCUGGCAUUUAAAGAUCAAGGUU